rnacentral:tRNA from 1 species
GCCUAUCUGGCUCAGUUGGUAAAGCAUGAGAGUCUCAAUCUCAGAGUCAUGAGUUCAAACCCCACGUUGGGCA